rnacentral:rRNA from 1 species
GCCUACGGGGCGCAGCAGUAGGGAAUCUUCCACAAUGGACGAAAGUCUGAUGGAGCAACGCCGCGUGAGUGAAGAAGGGUUUCGGCUCGUAAAGCUCUGUUGGGAGUGAAGAAAGAUAGAGGUAGUAACUGGCCUUUAUUUGACGGUAAUUACUUAGAAAGUCACGGCUAACUACGUGCCAGCAGCCGCGGUAAUACGUAGGUGGCAAGCGGUGUCCGGAUUUAUUGGGCGUAAAGCGAGCGCAGGCGGUUGAAUAAGGCU